UACGUAGGGUGCGAGCGUUAAUCGGAAUUACUGGGCGUAAAGCGUGCGCAGGCGGUUCGUUGUGUCGGCGGUGAAAUCCCCGGGCUCAACCUGGGAAUGGCCGUUGAAACUGGCGAACUGGAGUGUGGCAGAGGGGGGUGGAAUUCCGCGUGUAGCAGUGAAAUGCGUAGAGAUCCGGAGGAACACCAGUGGCGAAGGCGACACGCUGGGCCAUACCUGACGCUAAAGCGCGACAGCAUGGGGAGCAAACGGG
rnacentral:rRNA from 1 species